ACGACCUUACUUGAACAGGAUCUGUUCUAUGGGUUCAUACCUCUGUGUCCUUGAAUACUAAGGAGACAGGAAUCAAAGUCUGGUGGAUGAAUUAUGACCGUGUGAUCAGAGCGUGAUUAAUGGUUGCACGAUCAGCCUGAUCGUUGCGGCUGCAGAGCCUAAUUAAAAAAGAUACCAAGAUCAAUUUAAUAGCCCUUUUUCUUUUUUUUUUUAUGAACCUUUUUGACGGGGC